rnacentral:rRNA from 1 species
GUCUCCCUGAAAUAAUUUAUAUAGGGAGUCGGACCUGCCCAGUGACUGUAAUGUUAAACGGCCGCGGUACCCUAACCGUGCAAAGGUAGCAUAAUCAUUUGCCUUUUAAAUGGAGGCUAGUAUGAAUGGUUUAACGAGAGCCAAGCUGUCUCUUUUAAAAUAAUUAGAAAUUAACUUCUAGGUGAAGAGGCCUAGAUUAAGCUGAGGGACAAGAAGACCCUGUUGAGCUUUAGUAUUACUAUGUUUAAUUAUUAAUUACAUUUAUGUAAUAUCUUAACUUAGCAAUUCUUUAGUUGGGGCGACUGAGGAACAUAAAAAGCUUCCUUGAAUUUUUUUAUAGAAUAUACAGAUAAGUUAAAUUGAUCCGGUUUUAUCGAUUAAGAGAAAAAGUUACCACAGGGAUAACAGCGUAAUCUUUCUGGAGAGAUCUAAUCAAAAGAAGGGUUUGCGACCUCGAUGUUGGACUAAGGUAUCCUAAGGGUGUAGAAGUUCUUAAGGGUUGGUCUGUUCGACUAUUAAAACCUU